GCAUUAAAGUUCAGUCUCUAGGACCCUGAACACUGACAGUAUUAGUGGUUCUAUGCUUAGAAGGGUUUCUUUAUGAAGAUUGUGGCACAUAGUUCAGCGUGUAAGAUGUUCAAGAUAAUCACAAUUUUCCUCGAAAAGAGCAUUUUACAUGAAAUUGGCCUGAAAUGCACAGGGUGAAAAAUGUGUGGUUUUUAACUUGUUUAUAUUAUAUCCAUAAUAUAAUAAACGAGAACUAAGGCACCAUCUCAAAGCUAAUUUUAUUAUUAUGUAUGACGACUGAAUAGUUUAGUAUUUUCAAAUCUUUGAGCUAUAAAAUUGCAUAACUUAAAUUACUACAAUUGAUCCACAUUCACAUAAAUGGUCAAGUGCCUACCAAGGUUUUGUUGAAUGUCCAACGUCAAUUACUGAUUCAAUCUAGAGCAUGACAAUAAUAUAUCUUCAGUGCAUUAAUUUUCAGAAUUGCUUUAUGAGCGGAACUUGAUAUAACAGCUUUCAUUUCAUAUUGAAUUCAUUGGCGGUGAAGGCACUUAAAUAUCUCAAGAAGUUUGAGACCAUCUUGAAGUUGGACCAUCCUAAAUUGAGAAGUGGUUCCUCGCACUCGACUAUCGGAUAAUGGAUUAUUUCUGAAAACAAGGAAUAUUUGGAUUUUUUAGCAAGAUGAACUCAUUAUUGUUUCCCUUUAAAUUUGCAUUUGUAAAUAUGACUGAUACAUGACAGAAUGUAUAUUGGCCACUGGCUAUUGAAUUUGGCUUAUGCCAAUUUACAAUCCUAAGCGAACCUGGCUUAAUGUAAAGUUUGUAACAUCACUCUAGACCUAACUGCUACCGAGAAGGUUCUAUAGCCACAA